GUGCUCACCUGGGUAGUACAUGUACUAAAAUUUCAAUGAUACAGGGAAACUUAGCAUAGCCCCUGUACAAGGAUGAUGGGAUCAUUUAGCCCAUUCACGUUCAG
ensembl:snRNA U6 U6 spliceosomal RNA